AACGCAAAUUGCACUCUCUGGUAUUCCGGGGAGUAUGCCUGUUUGAGGGUCGUUAGAAAAAAAAAUCGAAGCGUCGCUCUUUGUGAAAAAUAUUUAAUAUAUAUUUCGUUUUGGGUGAUUGCCUCGGAAUUGAGCCGUCUUUCAUAUGUUUAUUCAUGUCAAAGUGGCUUAAAAUUCAUCAAUCUUGGUACGAUUUAAAGCGUAUUUAAGAUCAUCAUUGAUUAAGAACGCGCGAUGACGUAUCAUCUCAUGUAGUACGUUCGACCUGCUUUGUCAGGCUCAUUCGUAUACGACACUCAACUUUUGACCUCAAAUCAGGUAAGAAUACCCGCUGAACUUAA
rnacentral:misc_RNA from 1 species